UACGUAGGGGGCAAGCGUUGUCCGGAUUUAUUGGGCGUAAAGAGCGUGUAGGCGGUUUGGUAGGUCCGCUGUGAAAACUCGAGGCUCAACCUCGAGACGCCGGUGGAAACCAUCAGGCUAGAGUCCGGAAGAGGAGAGUGGAAUUCCUGGUGUAGCGGUGAAAUGCGCAGAUAUCAGGAAGAACACCCGUGGCUAAGGCGGCUCUCUAGUACGGUACUGACGCUGAGACGCGAAAGCGUGGGGAGCAACAGG
rnacentral:rRNA from 1 species